AUCACUUCUCAGACUUUUGGCUAAGCUUGAGUAUAGUAUCGGUUCUUAUCAGUUUAAUAUCUGAUAUUAAAUAUACUCUAUUUGAUGACAAUAUAUUAAAUGGGAUUUUGGAGAGGGGAGAUGGAAUAGGAGCUUGCUCUGUCCACUCCACACAUCAACCUGGUAUCGCAGUGCCUCCGGGAAUGGUGCACCCCGU